UACGGAGGGUGCAAGCGUUAUCCGGAUUCACUGGGUUUAAAGGGUGCGUAGGUGGGUUGGUAAGUCAGUGGUGAAAUCUCCAGGCUUAACUUGGAAACUGCCAUUGAUACUAUCAAUCUUGAAUACCGUGGAGGUCAGCGGAAUAUGUCAUGUAGCGGUGAAAUGCUUAGAUAUGACAUAGAACACCAAUCGCGAAGGCAGCUGGCUACACGAAUAUUGACACUGAUGCACGAAAGCGUGGGGAUCAAACAGG
rnacentral:rRNA from 1 species